CGUCUAUAUACGUAUAGCAUAUCAAUAAGCGGAGGAAAAGAAACUAACUAGGAUUCCCUUAGUAACGGCGAGUGAAGCGGGAAGAGCUCAAAUUUGAAAUCUUCAAGGUUCUACCUUGACGAAUUGUAGUUUAAAGAAGUGUUUUCUGUUGGAGUUUUGGUAAAAGUUCUUUGGAAAUAGGACAUCAUAGAGGGUGAGAAUCCCGUAUUUGACCAUUAUUUCCAACUUUGUGAUACACUUUCAAAGAGUCGGAUUGUUUGGGAAUGCAGUCCAAAAUGGGUGGUAAAUUUCAUCUAAAGCUAAAUACUGGCGAGAGACCGAUAGCGAACAAGUACCGUGAGGGAAAGAUGAAAAGAACUUCGAAAAGAGAGUUAAACAGUACGUGAAAUUGUCAAAAGGGAAGCGUUUGACACCAGUGUUGUUUUCUCGAAAAUCAAUUAAAAAUGGCGGGAUGUUGUGUUGUAUUGACUUUAUCAGCUUUCUGCACUUUUUUCCUAUCUUUUUUAAUGCACUUUUCGUUUAACAAGUCAACAUCAAUUUCUUUUGUUGUAAAAGGGUCAUUGGAAGGUGGCUUUCUUUUCGGAGAAAGUGUUUAUAGCCUUUGACUUCUGCAAUAGGAGAGAUUGAGGUCUGCAGCGUAGAUCCUUCGGGGUUAGAUGCAUUUGUGCUAAGUUAUAGCCUUUCAUAGACAACAUGUUGACUAUGAUCAGUCAUGUAGCUUACUCGCUUAUGCUAUUUUACCUACGCUUAGGAUGUUGACGAUCAGCUGAGCGCA
rnacentral:rRNA from 1 species